UAAUACGGGGGGAGCAAGCGUUGUUCGGAUUUACUGGGCGUAAAGGGCGUCUAGGCGGGUCAGCAAGUCAGGUGUGCAAUCCCACGGCUCAACCGUGGAACUGCACUUGAAACUGCUGGUCUUGAGUACGGAAGAGGGAAGCGGAAUUCCUGGUGUAGCGGUGAAAUGCGUAGAUAUCAGGAAGAACACCGGUGGCGAAGGCGGCUUCCUGGUCCGAUACUGACGCUAAAGCGCGAAAGUGUGGGGAGCAAACAGGAUUAGAUACCCUGGUAGUCCACACUGUAAACGAUGGAUACUAGGUGUCGGGGGUAUCGACCCCUCCGGUGCCGAAGCUAACGCAUUAAGUAUCCCGCCUGGGGAGUACGGUCGCAAGGCUG
rnacentral:rRNA from 1 species